UACGAAGGGGGCUAGCGUUGCUCGGAAUCACUGGGCGUAAAGGGUGCGUAGGCGGGUCUUUUAGUCAGGGGUGAAAUCCUGGAGCUCAACUCCAGAACUGCCUUUGAUACUGAGGAUCUUGAGUCCGGGAGAGGUGAGUGGAACUGUGAGUGUAGAGGUGAAAUUCGUAGAUAUUCGCAAGAACACCAGUGGCGAAGGCGGCUCACUGGCCCGGUACUGACGCUGAGGUGCGAAAGCGUGGGGAGCAAACAGG
rnacentral:rRNA from 1 species